CCCUUAGAUGUUCUGGGCUGCACGCGCGCUACACUGAUGCACUCAACGAGUUUACGACCUUGCCCGAUAGGGUUGGGUAAUCUUUUUAAAAUGCAUCGUGAUGGGGAUAGAUUAUUGCAAUUAUUAAUCUUCAACGAGGAAUUCCUAGUAAGCGCGAGCCAUCAGCUCGUGCUGAUUACGUCCCUGCCCUUUGUACACACCGCCCGUCGCUCCUACCGAUUGAGUGCUCAGGUGAAUAAUUCGGACUGCAGCAAUGUUUGGAUCCCGAACGUUGCAGCGGAAAGUUUAGUGAACCUUAUCACUUAGAGGAAGGAGAAGUCGUAACA
rnacentral:rRNA from 1 species